ACUGGCUCAGGAUGAACGCUAGCGGCAGGCCUAAUACAUGCAAGUCGAACGGGAUAGGCUCCUUCGGGGGCCUUGAGAGUGGCGCACGGGUGCGCAACGCGUAUGCAACCAACCCCCGACAGGCGGAUAGCCGGUGGAAACGCCGGAUAAUACGCCAUGGUUCCGUGGGAGGGCAUCCUCCUGAGGAUAAAGCCGAGAGGCGGUCGGGGACGGGCAUGCGUCCCAUUAGAUGGUAGGCGGGGUGACGGCCCACCUAGUCCACGAUGGGUAGGGGUUCUGAGAGGAAGGUCCCCCACACUGGUACUGAGACACGGACCAGACUCCUACGGGAGGCAGCAGUGAGGAAUAUUGGUCAAUGGGCGCGAGCCUGAACCAGCCAAGUGCGUGCAGGAUGACGGCCCUAUGGGUUGUAAACUGCUUUUAUACGGGGAUAAAGUGAGGGACGUGUCCCUUUUUGUAGGUACCGUAUGAAUAAGGACCGGCUAAUUCCGUGCCAGCAGCAGC
rnacentral:rRNA from 1 species